UUUCUGAUCCUGGCUUCUCCCAUUGAGAAGAGUCACAAUGAGUAUCUCAAUAACCCCACCCACCCCCAGCAAGAGCCCCUUGGAUCUUUACAGAAGAAAAAUGGGCUAAAAAAGAGAGGUGAGGUGGCUCAUUCACCGAUGUUCUCACUAUUGGCGUCCAGACAAGAACAGAAGCUGACUUUGCUGACACUUUAGCUAGUAGAAAGCCUGGUCCAGACAUGUCCUCACAGUAAUGGCCAUGCACGAGAGCAUGAGUGGUAUAUACAAGAGGCUUUUCAAGCCUCUUUUUGAAAUAACUACACACUUGCUAAUGUCCACUGGUGGGAGCAGGUCACACGGCUGAACUCAGUAUCAAGGAAUGGGAAAGGCGAUUCCACUCAUGAUUAAAAAAAAAAGGUGCAAACUCCACGGCAAAAGGCAAGGAUGAAGAGAGGUGCAAAAAGUCGGAGCCACUGACACCUUCAACCUAACAGAUCACUGAAACAUUUUAACACACAAGCAUUGUUUUUGUUUUGUAUUGUAGGCUUUUUAAAAGAUGACAUAAUAUCGUAUCAUUUAUGGCUUAUACUGUUUUGAAGAUCUUACUUAGCUCGAGACAGAUUUGAAGAGAUCUUAAUCCGAAAACGUAAUCUGAACUUUGUAACAUUGCAAAAUGUUUCAUUAUGUGAGUGUACCAGAAGUUUUUAUCCAGUCUCUUAAUGACGGUUGUUAAAGUUGUUUCCUGCUUCCAAGACCUUUUUGACAGCGUGCUAAGGGGCACCUGUUUGCAUAAAUGGUUGUGUAUUUCUGCUGGUAUUUCGGGAAAGGCAACCUGUAGGUGAGGAUUUAGGGAUCCCACACACUUUAUCCUCCAGCAAGACCGAGCCCCGAUCUCUCAACAUCUGUGUUUCCAGACGCUCUGUAUUCUAGAAUCCUGCUUCUCCGACUUGACUUUAUGAUAAACGCUAGUGAAAUCCGUGGUAGAGAGAAUGUACGCAAUUGGAGAUGGGCUCCCAGCCUCCAGGUCACUGUCACUCUGCAACAACCUCAAGUUCCCCGGUGUGCUAUGGAGUGUUCCAGAAGCUACUCAGAGCUCCGCUGUCACCUGCACUCCCACCGGCACCCAAGCACCACUGUCUCUGUGAAGCCUUCUUCGCAGUCCUUGAGCACACCAGGUGUGCCUUCUCCGAACAAAAUGAACACUUUCAUCCUGGUUCUUCUCCUACUGAAAUACAUUUGCUAUUAUGCCUUU